GACGAACGCUGGCGGCGUGCUUAACACAUGCAAGUCGAACGGAAAGGCCCUGCUUGCAGGGUACUCGAGUGGCGAACGGGUGAGUAACACGUGGGUGAUCUGCCCUGCACUUCGGGAUAAGCCUGGGAAACUGGGUCUAAUACCGGAUAGGAGCCAUUUUUAGUGUGAUGGUUGGAAAGUUUUUUCGGUGUAGGAUGAGCUCGCGGCCUAUCAGCUUGUUGGUGGGGUAAUGGCCUACCAAGGCGGCGACGGGUAGCCGGCCUGAGAGGGUGGACGGCCACAUUGGGACUGAGAUACGGCCCCGCCUCCUACGGGAGGCAGCAGUGGGGAAUAUUGCACAAUGGGCGCAAGCCUGAUGCAGCGACGCCGCGUGGGGGAUGACGGCCUUCGGGUUGUAAACUCCUUUCGCUAGGGACGAAGCUUUUUGUGACGGUACCUAGAUAAGAAGCACCGGCUAACUACGUG
rnacentral:rRNA from 1 species